ACGCUGGCGGCGUGCCUAAUACAUGCAAGUAGAACGCUGAAGGAGGAGCUUGCUUCUCUGGAUGAGUUGCGAACGGGUGAGUAACGCGUAGGUAACCUGCCUGGUAGCGGGGGAUAACUAUUGGAAACGAUAGCUAAUACCGCAUAACAGUAGAUGUUGCAUGACAUUUGCUUAAAAGGUGCAAUUGCAUCACUACCAGAUGGACCUGCGUUGUAUUAGCUAGUUGGUGGGGUAACGGCUCACCAAGGCGACGAUACAUAGCCGACCUGAGAGGGUGAUCGGCCACACUGGGACUGAGACACGGCUCAGACUCCUACGGGAGGCAGCAGUAGGGAAUCUUCGGCAAUGGACGGAAGUCUGACCGAGCAACGCCGCGUGAGUGAAGAAGGUUUUCGGAUCGUAAAGCUCUGUUGUAAGAGAAGAACAGGUGUGAGAGUGGAAAGUUCACACUGUGACGGUAUCUUACCAGAAAGGGACGGCUAACUACGUGCCAGCAGCCGCGGUAAUACGUAGGUCCCGAGCGUUGUCCGGAUUUAUUGGGCGUAAAGCGAGCGCAGGCGGUUAGAUAAGUCUGAAGUUAAAGGCUGUGGCUUAACCAUAGUACGCUUUGGAAACUGUUUAACUUGAGUGCAAGAGGGGAGAGUGGAAUUCCAUGUGUAGCGGUGAAAUGCGUAGAUAUAUGGAGGAACACCGGUGGCGAAAGCGGCUCUCUGGCUUGUAACUGACGCUGAGGCUCGAAAGCGUGGGGAGCAAACAGGAUUAGAUACCCCUGGUAGUCCACGCCGUAAACGAUGAGUGCUAGGUGUUAGACCCUUUCCGGGGUUUAGUGCCGCAGCUAACGCAUUAAGCACUCCGCCUGGGGAGUACGACCGCAAGGUUGAAACUCAAAGGAAUUGAC
rnacentral:rRNA from 1 species